rnacentral:rRNA from 1 species
AGCUAAUAGAUACCCGGGUAGUCCACGCCCUAAACGAUGUCUACUAGUUGUUGGUGGAGUAAAAUCCAUGAGUAAACGCAGCUAAACGCGUGAAGUAGACCGCCUGGGGAGUACGGUCGCAAGAUUAAAACUCAAAGGAGUUGACGGGGGCCCGCACAAGCGGUGGAUUAUGUGGAUUAAAUUCGAUGCAACGCGAAAAACCUUACCUGGCCUUGACAUGCCACUAACGAAGCAGAGAUGCAUUAGGUGCCCGUAAGGGAAAGUGGACACAGGUGCUGCAUGGCUGUCGUCAGCUCGUGUCGUGAGAUGUUGGGUUAAGUCCCGCAACGAGCGCAACCCUUGCCAUUAAUUGCCAUCAUUUAGUUGGGCACUUUAAUGGGACUGCCGGUGACAAACCGGAGGAAGGUGGGGAUGACGUCAAGUCCUCAUGGCCCCUAUGGCCAGGGCUUCACACGUAAUACAAUGGUCGGUACAGAGAGUUGCCAACCCGCGAGGGGAGCUAAUCUCAGAAAGCCGAUCGUAGUCCGGAUUGUUCUCUGC